AGGUCAGGUCCCUGGGCGCACACCAUGCACAUCACCCAGCUCAACCGGGACUGCCUGCUGCACCUCUUCUCCUUCCUGGACAAGGACAGCAGGAAGAACCUGGCCAGGACCUGCCCCCAGCUCCAGGACGUGUUUGAGGACCCCGCACUCUGGCCCCUGCUGCACUUUCGAUCCCUCCUAGAGCUCAAGAAGGACAACUUCCUCCUGAGCCCGGCCCUCAGGAGCCUCUCCAUCUGCUGGUACUCCAGCCGCGUGCAGGUGUGCAGCAUUGAGGACUGGCUCAAGAGCGCCUUCCAGAGGAGCAUCUGCAGCCGCCACGAGAGCCUGGUCAAUGAUUUCCUCCUCCAGGUGUGCGACAGGUGCCCCAACCUGGCGUCCGUCACGCUUUCAGGCUGCGGCCACGUCACCGACGACUGCCUGGCGUGCCUGCUGCGCUGCUGCCCGCGCCUGCGCGCGCUGCGCCUGGAGAACUGCGCGCGCGUCACCAACCGCACGCUGGCUGCCGUGGCGGCGCACGGGCGCGCGCUGCAGACGUUGCACGUGGACUUCUGCCGCAACGUGAGCGCGGCCGGCCUGCGCCGCCUACGCGCCGCGUGCCCGCGCCUGGCGCUGCGGGCCGAGCACAGCGCAGCCAUGAUCCCGGACCAGCUCCCGAGCGCGCCCGGCACGGUUUUUCGCAAGCUGCUGCCGCGCUAGGCCGACCACGCCGGGGCACGACACCCAACCAAGGGCCCCGGGCGGAAAGAGCGACCUGGCUUCCAACCCCAGCCCCUCCACCUCCCAGACUGUCGCCACAUCUCUGAACCUCAGUGUCCCCCGUGGGGACACUAAUGCCUACCUCACAUUACGGUUUUACGCACAGGAGUGCAAGAUUAAGUAGCCGGAUGCUGGGAAAACACUCGGCUAGCCCUCACUAAACACCAGCAUCUAUCCCGAUGCCUUUCCGCCCCGGGUCCUCCGCCACUUGCUGUCCGCAGCAGGGGAGAAGCCCACACCAUGCCUUGGGACUGCGACCGCCGUCAGGAGCCAAGAUAACCCCCAUGGUGAGGCGUGGCCACCCGGUAGAGCGCGGGCGCAGGCGGAGCGCGCGCAGGCGCCGUGGGGUUGGGGCGGGGCGACCCCGGCGGCCCACCGAGCGCCGCAAGCUCACCCCGCGGCCGUGCGUGACCCAGGCUCCCCCCGAGCAUAGCCUCCCGCUGCACCAGUGGGCGGGAGGAGGGGGAAAGCCGGGGCUCCCAGCAGGAGAGCCCCCGAGCUCGCCACCGCGGCCCCUGCCGUCCACGCCUUCGCUCGGCGCUCGGGCCAGCCCGCACACACGAUUCUAGAAAAUUCGCUGGUCGAUAUGAUUCUGAACAUAAACCACAUAGUUAUCCUAAUUUUCUACCGUUCUCGUAUCACAAAGACAGAAGAAAGCAUCUGGAAAACCCUAAGUAAAGACUUGAAAACAAAAGCAGCAGCACUGGUUAAGUCCUUUGGUAAUGAGACCACUAGAGGCGCCUACAAAGUUAAAUUUUUACCUGAUGGAUUUGCUCAACGUGGGCACACGCCUGGACUUCAGUUUCAGAGCUUUAGUCACUGAUGUCCCACCUUUAGCCACCAAAGUAUAGGCUCCCGGCCCCGCAGCAGCCUCCUGGUCCCAGCAGGAGCCAGGGUCCCAAGCAGAGAUGAUCGCCAGGUGAAGCCCAGAGGGGCUGAAAUUUCUCCAGGCAGAACCUGUGGUGGGGCAAGCAGCAACCCACCCCAUCCCAAGCCCUCCAGGGCCUGCUGGAGGCCUCAUUUGCCGUCCCGGGCCCUUUGGGCCAGCGCUGGGCCCAGAAGCAGGUGCUGUUCACGUCAUCGGGCAUUGAGCAGAGCCCUGGACAGAACACAGUGCCCGGCUUCACCGGAAACUGCGCUCGACGGCUUCUCUCAGACCCGCGGAGAACAAGGGGCAUCACAUGCUUCGUUAAUCCACAGACUCAUUCAUCUGGGGUUGCGGGAGCCUCGAGUGCUCUGCAGCGCUGCCAUCCAUCACUUCUGACAGGUUAUGACCUCUUGGAGCUUUAGUUUAGUUCUAAAAUAGGGCCAGUACCUUCUCUGUGACACCCCGAUGAGAUGGUGCCUCAGUGUACCGUGUCUGGAAGAUGUCCUCACGUCCGCGGCAGCCUAGAAAAGCCAAGUGCCUGGCAGAACCCACAAGGCCUGGGUACCGGGAAGAAGCAUGCUGGGUCCGUAAGGGGGUGAUCCAGGAACACUCGGAGGACUGACCCCAGCUCCCACAGGGUCUAACUGUGGGUGGGGUGCUCCUUCCGGCAGGCACGGUUCAGCAAAGGCAGUCAGAAAGCCCAAGGCAAGCCCAGGGAAGCCAGGGGAGAUGGGAGCCUGUGUUCCAAACCCACUUGAAAAUGGCGUGGAGGUUACCUAUGUCCUCACGGCCUCUAUUAGAACAGUCUACAAACUUUCCCUAGCUCCUGAAUGCUUAUUUUGCUCUCAGUUCUGGCCAAGGCAGCCAGUGGCCACAGAGAGGAAAAGCUAGGGGGAGGGUGCAGAACCUCAGCCCCGGGGCAGGACGGUGCUCCCUGGUGGAAGGCUGGCAUCGGUCACCAUAUCGUGCUGGCGAGCCUGCGCAGGAAGCUCAGUACCAGCAGAGACCGGAGCCACAUGCUCCUAGGUCAGGGGCUCAGGUCACUCCUUGGGAGGCGGAGCCUGCUAGGGGGACGCGGGGCCGUGAGGCUUGUCUUACAGGGACACGCUGGCCUGUUUCUGCACAGGCUGAAUAUCUGGAGGGGACUCAGCUCCUUCGGGUCCACCAUGGUAAGCAGGUGUGCUGACAGGAAGCCAGGGCUCCCAGCUCUAGCCUGUACACACCUGUGAUCCAGCACCUUCCCUCUCCUGACCUCAGAUUCGUGGUAAGAGAGGUCACCUGACACCUUAGCUCUAGGAUUCCUCCAGCUCUAGGGUCCACGCCUAAGGCUUGCUUUUUGCUAAAAACCAAGUUCACCAGAUACAGGUUUCAUCCGACUGGCAGUGCUGGGCAAAGGCCACGAAGCAGGGAGGCCCAGAACAAAGCUGCCCCUGGGAAAUCCUACAUCUUAAAGGAGGGGGAUCCAAGUUCUCUGGGGGCUCUUUAAGGGUCAUAACAACUGCAAGGGAUUUAACUGAAUGAUCCAGCAAACAAAAAAAACUGCCCAAGUCUCCCCAGAGGGGCUGAAAAUGAAUUAGGGAAAAUAAACACCUGUGCCAGGCCCUUUCAGCCCCUCGGACCAGGGAUUCAUGCCUCCCUCUCUCCUCCAGGGCUUCUAAAAGAGAAUGAAAAAAAGAACCGGUUUCCAGUAAAGAAAUGGCAUCUGUUAUAAAAUCAAGGUGUCUGCGCAGAUUUUCCUUGCAGGGUCAUACCUCCUGAGAAGCCUGACAGGUGGGGCCUGGAACCAUGAGCAUCAGCCUGCUGGGGGUACCUCUGCCCCUCAGUGCAGAGCCAAACAUGGCAGCAGAGACCAGAGCCUCUCAAAGAUUGAGGCAUUAUUUUUAUUUAAAAUAAAUUCUGAGGGGCACCUGGGUGGCUCAGUCGUUAAGCGUCUGCCCUCGGCUCAGGUCAUGAUCCCAGGUUCCUGGGCUCGAGCCUGGCAUCAGGCUCCCUGCUCAUGGGGAGCCUCCUUCUCCCUCUGCCUCUGGCUAUGCUCUCUCUCUCUCACGCUUUCUCUCAAAUAAAUAAAUAAAAACUUAAAUUCUGAGACUGCAGAUGUAUCCUUUAGCUCAGCACACCCUCAGCCCAGCCCAGCAAGAAGGAAAAGCCACUAGUUACCAGGAACCAGCCCAGAAGGCUCUAAGAGACCCCUCGCUUGGCAUCGUCCAGGAUCUCAGCAGCACACAGAGGCCUCCCUCCUCUCAGGUCCCCCCUGGCCCAGAGGCCUGGGCAGUGUGCCUUCCCACCCCAGUGAGUGCGUCGAGCCCAGAGCCCUUCACCGCUCCUACUGACUGAGCUCUCACAUCAAGUAUCGAAGGUUCCUCUUUGCCCAGAACCCCUGUGGCUUCCCAGAAGCUGUUGUCUCUCCCUCUGAGACCCAAUUCCAAUUGAAGCCUCUUUUCAAGUAAUAGGCAUUCUCACUGGGAAAGAUCCUUGUACCACAAACCGUAUCUGUCUUCCAAUUUCUCUUUGAAAGCACAUAUUUUCUAUCUUCCUUGUGAAAAACAACUGCCCGCAAAGCUCUCCAUCUGGCACCUCAUUUGAGCAGGCUGUCAGCCUGACCCAGUCCCUGAAGUACACGGGAACAGCUUGUGGCAAGAACUGGCUGUCAAUGAAGACACACCACCCAAAGGCCUUGCCCUCUCUUCCUGUUCCCACUCCCAGCAGCCAGAGCCUUCACCGCUGCUCUCACCAUGGCCCUUUCUUCCAGAACCACACACUCUGACACGCUUGGACAAAUGAGCACGCUGCCCAGGGCCCUCAAGGGCUGCGUUCAAGUGCCAAGAGUGGGACCCCUCCCCCGGCCCCCUGAACAACUCUCCAGCAACCACCAUUCAAGGAUAUGAAAGCCACUCACUGGUUCUCAUAUUACUUCGCACACUCACUUGCUCGUUCUCCUGGUCACUCAUUUGUGCACGCUGAGUGCCUACCAGCAAUGGCGGCCCCCAACGAACCCUGCACCCUUCCUGCAGAGACACGCCACCGUCAACCGCCCUGCUCUUUAAGCCCACCGCUGGUUCCUCACAGGCAGCACUGGAAUCAUGCUACUCUGGUUAGCUUCCUCCUUGCCUAGUGGAGCUGCACCCCAUACUAGGUCUCCCAGGGCGACUCAGGACAGGCUCUUAUUAGCAGGUUACACUCACAACCCAGCUGCAGAGAAGGAGGAAGGGGGUUGCUGAGGGAAUGGGCCACGGGGCUGAUGCGAGGGCCUUGGGGCGAGGGAACGAAGUGUAGGACACCCAGGACAACAGAAUAAAUGAAAGGAGGGGCUUCCUGCUCUCUGGAGCUGCUCUGUCAUCUCCACGCCAAGCUCGCUCUCAGUGUGAAGGAGUGUUUCUGAUGGGUCAAAACGCCGUCAGAGUGAGACUAGCCCGAAAGCUUGUUCUUUCUCAGAAGCUCCACUGGAGGUAACAAAAGCAGCCCACGC